rnacentral:rRNA from 1 species
GACGAACGCUGGCGGCGUGCUUAAUACAUGCAAGUCGAACGGAAAGGCCCUGCUCUUGCGGGGUGCUCGAGUGGCGAACGGGUGAGUAUCACGUGAGUAACCUGCCCUUGACUUUGGGAUAACUUCAGGAAACUCGGGCUAAUAUCGGAUAGGAGCUCCUGAUGCAUGGUGGGGGUUGGAAAGUUUCGGCGGUUGGGGAUGUUCUCGCGGCUUAUCAGCUUGUUGGUGGGGUAGUGGCUUACCAAGUCUUUGACGGCUAGCCGGCCUGGGAGGGUGACCGGCGACAAUGGGACUGCGAUACGGACCAGACUCCUACGGGAGGCAGCAGUGGGGAGUAUUGCACAAUGACCGGAAGCCUGAUGCAGAAACGCCGCGUGCGGGAUGACGGCCUUCGGGUUGUAAACCGCUUUCGCCUGUGACGAAGCGUGCGUGACGGUAACGGGUAAAGAAGCACCGGCUAACUACGUG